GACGAACGCUGGCGGCGUGCUUAACACAUGCAAGUCGAACGGUGAAAGCGGAGCUUGCUCCGCUGGAUCAGUGGCGAACGGGUGAGUAACACGUGGGCAACCUGCCCUUCACUUCGGGAUAACUCCGGGAAACUGGGGCUAAUACCGGCUAUGACCUCUGCGGGCAGCCGCGGGUGUGGAAAGUUUUUCGGUGAAGGAUGGGCCCGCGGCCUAUCAGCUUGUUGGUGAGGUAGUGGCUCACCAAGGCGACGACGGGUAGCCGGCCUGAGAGGGAGACCGGCCACACUGGGACUGAGACACGGCCCAGACUCCUACGGGAGGCAGCAGUGGGGAAUAUUGCGCAAUGGGCGAAAGCCUGACGUAGCAACGCCGCGUGCGGGAUGACGGCCUUCGGGUUGUAAACCGCUUUCAGCAGGGAAGAAGCCGCAAGGUGACGGUACCUGCAGAAGAAGCACCGGCUAACUACGUGCCAGCAGCCGCAGUAA
rnacentral:rRNA from 1 species